rnacentral:rRNA from 1 species
UACGUAGGGUGCAAGCGUUGUCCGGAAUUAUUGGGCGUAAAGAGCUCGUAGGCGGUCUGUCGCGUCGGCUGUGAAAACCCGGGGCUCAACCCCGGGCCUGCAGUCGAUACGGGCAGACUAGAGUGCGGUAGGGGAGACUGGAAUCCCUGGUGUAGCGGUGAAAUGCGCAGAUAUCAGGAGGAACACCGGUGGCGAAGGCGGGUCUCUGGGCAGUAACUGACGCUGAGGAGCGAAAGCGUGGGGAGCGAACAGG